rnacentral:tRNA from 1 species
AAAGAUUUAGUUAAACUAAUAACAUCAAAAUGUCAAAUUGAAAUUAUUUUUAUAAAUAAUCUUUU